UGCAUUUGUUUCAAGGAUACAAGGGUGGAAAUCAACUCCCCUAGAAGUGCAACAGCUGAAUUUCAUUGAGAUCCCGGAUCUGUCAUUGUUUUCUUCUACUUGAUUCACUUAUCUUUUGGAAGGCUCAAUAAUCUAAUAUCUAUAUUUAGGAAACUAUGGGAGAGACAACAGGAUAGGUUGACAUAAAGAGUGCAACAGCUGGAUGCAACAUUGGAUUUUGAGACGCACAAAUCAAGCUUCAUUGUUAGCAAGUGGGGUACAAGACCAUAGCAAGGAUAGGCCAGUAAACUUGAGUUGAGCUCUAUAUUACCUAAAGUCAUUUCUGCUUUACAGUAAAACGUUCACAUUGAAAACUAAUUUAGCUAGUUAAUUCCCAGAAAUAAACAUGCUGCCGAUUUUUCACAUGGGUAGUGUACUGUGCUAUUGGCUUCACAUAGAUUGUGUACAUGUCUGCAACCCUUUCAAGGAAUAAAAUGAAUCCCACGUCUUCUUCUGCA